rnacentral:rRNA from 1 species
CAGCCGCCGCGGUAAUACAGAGGAUGCAAGCGUUGUCCGGAAUUAUUGGGCGUAAAGGGCUCGCAGGCGGCUUCUUAAGCCUGAUGUGAAAGCCCCCGGCUCAACCGGGGAGGGUCAUUGGAAACUGGGAAACUUGAGUGCAGAAGAGGAGAGUGGAAUUCCACGUGUAGCGGUGAAAUGGGUAGAGAUGUGGAGGAACACCAGUGGCGAAGGCGACUCUCUGGUUUGUAACUGACGCUGAGGAUCGAAAGCGUGGGGAGCGAACAGGAUUAGAUACCCCCGUAGUCCCUGUCUCUUAUAA